rnacentral:rRNA from 2 species
AAACCAACAGGGAUUGCCCCAGUAACGGCGAGUGAAGCGGCAACAGCUCAAAUUUGAAAUCUGGCCUCCUCCGGGGGCCCGAGUUGUAAUUUGCAGAGGAUGCUUCUGGCGCGGCGCCUUCCGAGUUCCCUGGAACGGGACGCCAUAGAGGGUGAGAGCCCCGUCUGGUUGGACGCCUAGCCUCUGUGAAGCACCUUCGACGAGUCGAGUAGUUUGGGAAUGCUGCUCAAAAUGGGAGGUAUAUGUCUUCUAAAGCUAAAUACCGGCCAGAGACCGAUAGCGCACAAGUAGAGUGAUCGAAAGAUGAAAAGCACUUUGAAAAGAGGGUUAAACAGUACGUGAAAUUGUUGAAAGGGAAGCGCUCAUGACCAGACUUGGGCCCCGCGCAUCACCCGGCGUUCUCGCCGGGGCACUUCGCAGGGCCCAGGCCAGCAUCAGUUCGUGGCGGGGGACAAAGGCUUCGGGAACGUGGCUCCCUCGGGAGUGUUAUAGCCCGCUGCGCAAUGCCCUGCCGCGGACUGAGGUUCGCGCUUCCGCAAGGAUGCUGGCGUAAUGGUCAUCAGCGAC